rnacentral:tRNA from 1 species
UCUAUUUUGGCAGAUAAAGUGCAGUAGAUUUAAACUCUUCACAUAAAGUUUUCACUUUUUUUAGAAA